GACAGAGGUGCCGAGCGUUAGGCGGAAUCACUGGGCUUAAAGAGCGUGUAGGCGGUCCGGUAAGUCCGCUGUGAAAGUCGGGGGCUCAACCCUCGAAUGCCGGUGGAUACUGUCGGGCUAGAGUGCGGAAGAGGCGAGUGGAAUUCCUGGUGUAGCGGUGAAGUGCGCAGAUAUCAGGAAGAGCACCAACGGCGAAGGCAGCUCGCUGGGACGGUACUGACGCUGAGACGCGAAAGCGUGGGGAGCGAACAGG
rnacentral:rRNA from 1 species